UAAAGAUUCAUCGCUGAUAGAUAGGCAUGCGUUCCAUUAGGCAGUUGGCGGGGUAACGGCCCACCAAACCGACGAUGGAUAGGGGUUCUGAGAGGAAGGUCCCCCACAUUGGUACUGAGACACGGACCAAACUCCUACGGGAGGCAGCAGUGAGGAAUAUUGGUCAAUGGGCGUAAGCCUGAACCAGCCAAGUCGCGUGAGGGAUGAGGGUUCUAUGGAUCGUAAACCUCUUUUAUAAGGGAAUAAAGUGCGGGACGUGUCCCGUUUUGUAUGUACCUUAUGAAUAAGGAUCGGCUAACUCCGUGCCAGCAGCCGCGGUAAUACGGAGGAUCCGAGCGUUAUCCGGAUUUAUUGGGUUUAAAGGGUGCGUAGGCGGCCUUUUAAGUCAGCGGUGAAAGUCUGUGGCUCAACCAUAGAAUUGCCGUUGAAACUGGGAGGCUUGAGUAUGUUUGAGGCAGGCGGAAUGCGUGGUGUAGCGGUGAAAUGCUUAGAUAUCACGCAGAACCCCGAUUGCGAAGGCAGCCUGCCAAGCCAUGACUGACGCUGAUGCACGAAAGCGUGGGGAUCAAACAGGAUUAGAUACCCUGGUAGUCCACGCAGUAAACGAUGAUCACUAGCUGUUUGCGAUACACAGUAA
rnacentral:rRNA from 1 species